UUGGUUUCCAUAGAGAUCAAAGUGGACAGUAAGCUACUUCUAUGGCUUGUACGAAUGGAUCAAGAAAGAUGAAGGUCACUGAAUGCAACAAUUAUGGGGAAAACCAUGUAGGAACAUGAUGGAAAGUCAUAGGGGCUUGUUUCAUUUUUGGAACACUCGAUUAUUAGAAACGAGAUUGCCCAGCUAGGGGAGGAGGGAAU
rnacentral:lncRNA from 1 species